ensembl:lncRNA
UUUCAGGCUAGAUGAAUGAGGUAGGAUGGAGUGGGAGGUGAAGGAAGGUGUUCUUACAGGUGUCUAGUCUCAGGCACGUUGAUGUUGACGUCCUGGAUUAUCUCCUUUUUCUUCUCUCUCCUAUUUCUUUGUCUCCUUGUCCUGCAUCUUGCGCCUCAUUUCGUCCAUCUCUGUCUGCCGGUCUUUUUUUUUUUUUUUUUUUAAGUACAGGCAGAUGUUUUCAAGGACUGUUUUGUUGUCCUCUAAUUCUGGGAUCCUGGUGAUACGGAUCUAAUGUUCUUUGGGGAUGGUAUCCUCUGUUUGUUGGAUCUUAGAGAUCAGGCACAAUACAGUGAACCCACUGCUUGUGACCAUCUCGUUGUGGAUAUCCUCUUGGCUCUUUUUCAAAUUCAAAGAUUUUAUUGUCAAAUAUACCCCCCUUGUGUAUUGAAAUUC